CGUCAGCUCAUUUUGUAUAUAUAUAAGUAACGAUGCGGGUUACUCUUGUAGUAUUGCCUGCACGUUCUUGUAUAUUUAGUUGCAAGAUGUUGUCGGCGUGCACUUCUCCCCUAGUAGGACGUCGCGACCCGUUGGGUGUCGGUCUACGGCCCAAGUUGUAGACUUUAAUGUUUAAAAACAUUAAAGACCCUUGGUGUUUCCUGACCGGCUACCCGGCGGUACUCGUACGGUAUUAAGCCGCAUUUUAUAUGCGUCUAUAUCCGUCGCAAGCGAGGCUAGUUUCUGAUAGUACGGACCUAGUGCCGUCGUUGGAGCUGGCCAGCUGUUGGCUGUUACGGUAUUCUAAGACUGGCUUAAAUUAAUUACCGGUCGGCGAUGCUACUGCUUUGGGUACUUUCAGGA
rnacentral:rRNA from 1 species